CCUACGUGUGGCAGCAGUGGGGAAUAUUGGGCAAUGGACGCAAGUCUGACCCAGCAACGCCGCGUGAAGGAAGAAGGCUUUCGGGUUGUAAACUUCUUUUAAGGGGGAAGAGAAGAAGACGGUACCCCUUGAAUAAGCCACGGCUAACUACGUGCCAGCAGCCGCGGUAAUACGUAGGUGGCAAGCGUUGUGCGGAUUUACUGGGGUUAACGGGCGUGCAGGCGGAGAGGCAAGGCAGGGGUGAAAUCCGCGGGCUCAACUCGCGAACUGCAUUUGAAACUGCUUCCCUUGAGUAUCGGAGAGGUAAUCGGAAUUCCUGGUGUAGCGGUGAAAUGCGUAGAUAUUAGGAAGAACACCGGUGGCGAAGGCGGAUUACUGGACGACAACUGACGGUGAGGCGCGAAAGCGUGGGUAGCAAACAGGAUUAGAUACCCCAGUAGUC
rnacentral:rRNA from 1 species